rnacentral:rRNA from 1 species
UUCGUAGGUGGUUUAGUAAGUCUUAUGUGAAAGCCAACGGCUUAACCGUUGAAUUGCAUAAGAUACUGCUAGACUAGAGUAUAGAAGGGGAAACUGGAACUCCAUGUGUAGCGGUGGAAUGCGUAGAUAUAUGGAAGAACACCAAUAGCGAAGGCAGGUUUCUGGGCUAUUACUGACACUGAGGAACGAAAGCGUGGGUAGCAAACA